rnacentral:lncRNA from 1 species
CCACUUUGAUAACACACACAACUUUACUUGUAAUAUUUUGUCUAAACAAAAGCUAAAUAGAACCUGAUGAAUUAUUAUCUGCUUACAUAUAAAAAUUCUAAACAACGAUAAUUAGUUAAUUACAUGAAAGAUAAUUCCAUUUAAUUGAAGGGUGGUUUCCAUAAUAAUGCUUCUUGAUAUGCUCCAUGUUGACAGUGUUACUCAUUCCAGGACUCUGUUGCACUUGAACUCUUGAAGUGAACUACAUAAGCCAUAAAGCCAUAAACCUGCAUAUGUAUGCACUAUAUCAACCCACUGGUCUAAUAUAAAACAAAUAUGCAAUAAUUCAAUUCAAAUAAUUCAGAUAGGCAAUAAUUCAGCAAGGUGAAAAACAAAUAUGCUUGUCAAUUCAAUAAUUCACAAUAAACUGUGAUCUUCACUUCACAUAUAUAUACAUGAAAUCCAUGUAGAUUAAAGCCUCGUACAGGUUAUAAUCCUCAAUCCUCAUGCAACAAAGAUAACAACAACAACAACAACAAACAACUGCUACAACCCAGAACAGUGAGAAACAGAACAUGAAAAGAA